rnacentral:rRNA from 1 species
AUUGAACGCUGGCGGCAGGCCUAACACAUGCAAGUCGAGCGGGGUUUUCGGACCUAGCGGCGGACGGGUGAGUAAUGCGUAGGAAGCUACCCGAUAGAGGGGGAUACCAGUUGGAAACGACUGUCAAUACCGCAUAAUGUCUACGGACCAAAGUGUGGGACCUUCGGGCCACAUGCUAUCGGAUGCGCCUACGUGGGAUUAGCUAGUUGGUGAGGUAAUGGCUCACCAAGGCGACGAUCUCUAGCUGGUUUGAGAGGAUGAUCAGCCACACUGGAACUGAGACACGGUCCAGACUCCUACGGGAGGCAGCAGUGGGGAAUAUUGGACAAUGGGCGCAAGCCUGAUCCAGCCAUGCCGCGUGUGUGAAGAAGGCCUUCGGGUUGUAAAGCACUUUCAGCGAGGAGGAAGGGUUAGUCGUUAAUAACGGCUAAUUUUGACGUUACUCGCAGAAGAAGCACCGGCUAACUCUGUGCCAGCAGCCGCGGUAACAC